UUGAACGCUGGCGGCCUGCUUUACACAUGCCAGUCGCACGGUAACAGGCCGCAAGGUGCUGACGAGUGGCGAACGGGUGAGUAAUGCAUCGGAACGUGCCCAGUCGUGGGGGAUAACUACUCGAAAGAGUAGCUAAUACCGCAUACGAUCUAUGGAUGAAAGCGGGGGACCGUAAGGCCUCGCGCGAUUGGAGCGGCCGAUGUCAGAUUAGGUAGUUGGUGGGGUAAAGGCUCACCAAGCCAACGAUCUGUAGCUGGUCUGAGAGGACGACCAGCCACGCUGGGACUGAGACACGGCCCAGACUCCUACGGGAGGCAGCAGUGGGGAAUUUUGGACAAUGGGCGCAAGCCUGAUCCAGCAAUGCCGCGUGCAGGAAGAAGGCCUUCGGGUUGUAAACUGCUUUUGUACGGAACGAAACGGCUCUGGUUAAUACCCGGGGCUAAUGACGGUACCGUAAGAAUAAGCACCGGCUAACUACGUG
rnacentral:rRNA from 1 species